rnacentral:rRNA from 1 species
CCUACGGGUGGCAGCAGUGAGGAAUAUUGGUCAAUGGACGAGAGUCUGAACCAGCCAAGUAGCGUGAAGGAUGACUGCCCUAUGGGUUGUAAACUUCUUUUAUAUGGGAAUAAAAUGUUCCACGUGUGGGAUUUUGUAUGUACCAUAUGAAUAAGGAUCGGCUAACUCCGUGCCAGCAGCCGCGGUAAUACGGAGGAUCCGAGCGUUAUCCGGAUUUAUUGGGUUUAAAGGGAGCGUCGGUGGAUUGUUAAGUCAGUUGUGAAAGUUUGCGGCUCAACCGUAAAAUUGCAGUUGAAACUGGCAGUCUUGAGUACAGUAGAGGUGGGCGGAAUUCGUGGUGUAGCGGUGAAAUGCUUAGAUAUCACGAAGAACUCCGAUUGCGAAGGCAGUUCACUGGACUGCAACUGACACUGAGGCUCGAAAGUGUGGGUAUCAAACAGGAUUAGAUACCCUAGUAGUC